AUCUGAUCUAAAGGCUCUAAGUUGGAACCAUUGUUUCAUACCUGAGCCAUUUUGAUCUAGAUUAGCAUUCGGGGACCCUCCGUGCUGUUUGAUAUUCCGUGAUCUAGCAUUGUUUGAUUAUUAUACAAGAAUUCAAAGCAAUCUCAGGUAUGCCCAUUGUGAAAUGAUGCAUAGGACAUAUCAAGACAUACUUAGGCGGACCUGUGCCAUAGUGACUUAAAACGAGACAAGAACUAGUUAAUUUAUGUUAUGUACUCUUUGGUUCUUGUUUAAACAAUGUAUACUUUCAUAUUUGAUUAAUAAAACCAAAAUUC
rnacentral:lncRNA from 1 species